AUCUGACCUCUACCCCACCCCCCCGCAACUUCAUGGAAAAAUGACUUUCUCAGCGUUCGUUCCUGAAAUUAUUGCCAAACCCAGUGUUUUAUUCUUCACCCUGUUUGCCUCCUCUGAGCAUUGAAUGUUACCUACCUCUCUCCUUGAAUCCUGGCUCCAGCUAUCCUGGUUACGUUCUGAAUGUGCCUUUGCACGGUAUUUUCUGACUCUUCUUUUCUGUACUGAUACCUUUUCUUUCUGGAUACUUUCUUCUAUGGCAGUCUCAUACAUUCUCAAGGAUUUAACAUUUACUCCACUUAAAAGAGUUCCAAGAUCAUCUACUGAAUCAUUAAGCAAAUAUUUGUUAAAUCCAGGCUCUAUGCCCUUCCAAGUUGAGGCAACAGCAGUGGGAAGGAGGCAGGAAACAAACUGCAUCUGUUGGAGGAACUGCAAGAAGCUAGUGUGAUUGGGAGGGCUGUGGGGAGCAGAGGGAAGUGGCUGGAGUCUGAUCUCUAAGUGUCUAGCCCCUUCCUUUCUCCCAAGGCCCCAGUCCACACUAUCUGGCAUCUUCACUUCAUGGCUAAUUUAACACUGUCAGUGCUGUCAAUUGCUCUUCCCCCAGAACUGUAUUUUUCACAUCUGAAGUUCUGUUAAAGGACAACGUUUCACAAAUAAAAAUGAUAACUAAUAUGUCCCUAUAUGUAUCAGGCCCUCUUCUAUGCACUUUAUGUAGUAACCCCAUUUCAUCCUGAAAACUACCCUGUAAUCUAGACACUAUUAUUAGUCCCAUUUUACAGAUGGAAAAGCCGAGGCAUCGAGGUCAGGUAACUUGUCUAAGAUCAUAGCGCUAGUAAGUGGAAGAGGUCCAGUUGAACCCAAGCAGUCUGGCUUCACCAUUAUAAUGCACCGCCUUACCACCAAGAUCUUAUUUAUUCAUUCAACAAAUAUUUAUUCAGCUAGAGACCAGUAGAGAUAGUGACAUGUUACGCCUAUGGCCUCACAAAGCUUAUCUUCUAUUUUUGCCACGUUUUAAAAUUGUAUCAUCUUUCCCCAGUACCAUCUUGAUUUAGGCAUCUAUUACCCCUAACUAAAUGGGACUUUUGCAAUAACUUCCUAACUGUACUAUCCCCUUUCUCAACAUUUCCAGAGCAAUCUUCUCAACUGCAAGCUGAAUCAUUUCUCUUCACUGUUUAAAUGCCUCUGUUUAUACUCA
rnacentral:lncRNA from 1 species